CCACAGCCUCUAUAAAUAGGGAUUUAGGGUUUGCAGAGAACACAAUUAAUCAAUUUUCAUUAUGGAUGCAAAGCGCCAAAAGUAUCUAUGGUCAGUGAAUCGAACAAAGCAAAUUAUCAUUAAAGAUGAGGCUUCAAAGGGAGAUAUGAUUCAAUGGGUUCAUUACUGAAAUCCUUUGUACUACCCAGGGUUAAGCCUGGUGACACAGUUGCAGAAGUUAAAGCCUCUGCUCAAAAAAAGACCGGGGAGCCAUUACCCAUAAGCUGCCGUGGACAAAUAUUACCCGACGAUCACCCUAUGUUUGGCCUUGAGAUGUAGUACUAGUAUUACAUUGUGACUGCUGCUACUUCUUUCAUAUUUUCUAGCUUGUCUGAUUGUAAAUUUAAUAAUAUAAUUAGAUGAGAAGAUUCAUAUAUUGCCUAUUAUCAUGAGAUGAUCUAGUUUGUAUAUUAACUUGACUUUUCCUUUUUUCUUGAGUACCAUCGAUAUGUAAUGGUUUUAAAUAAGGGGAAAAAAAAAGCAACACAAAUUUUUG